GGAUAGCUCAGUUGGUGAGAGCAUGGUGUUGAUAACACCAAGGUUACAGGUUCGAUUCCUGUAUGGGACA